rnacentral:tRNA from 1 species
GGAAACGUGCCUGAAAAACAAGGACCUCUUUGAUAGAGAGACUUAUAGGGGUUAAAAUCCCCUCGCUUCC